CUGAUCAAUGGAUCCAAAGUAGAAAUUAGUAUUUACCCUAAAAUCUCUUUUACAAUUUGUGUUUUUGUGUUUGCAGAGAAAAGAAUACGGGAGGGAACAGGAACGAAGCAGAAGGGCGUGGGUGAUAGAGAUGGGUUAUAUCCUGCGAGUGAGAUUGGCUUCCUUCUUCGCCGGAGCAGCGGUUGCAUCGUCUCUGGGGUUUUACAUUCUUCAAAGAGAUUACAAGAUUGCUUACGAUUCCAUUUCGCAAAAGAUGGGAGGGCUGCAUGAUUCUCUGGAGAGUAGAAUUUCAGCACUGGAAAAACUGAACCAGAGUGAUGGUUCCCAACAUGUUCAAAGAGCGGAAUAGACAGACACUGGAGGGGCCAAGCCAGGAUAGUCUGAAGGAAAACAUGAAGAACUUAUGAACAAUAAUAAUAAACUGGUCUGCUUUGUCUGCUCAUCAAAAAAGAUGUUAAGUUUUGCUUGCAAGAUUUGUUUAUUUCCUGUAUGAUCUUUGUUUGUUGGUAUCAGAUUUAGGUUUGUUCCAUGCUGGUAGCUAUGCUGCUGUGAUGUUACCCUGCUCAUGUAAGACUUGGGUAUGAGUUUGAUGAGAAAUCAUUUUAUGAGAUUUCUGGGAAGCAGAAAUUCAGUUUCUAAAUA